rnacentral:rRNA from 1 species
AGGGUGACAGCCCCGUACACAAAAAUGCACAUGCUGUGAGCUCGAUGAGUAGGGCGGGACACGUGGUAUCCUGUCUGAAUAUGGGGGGACCAUCCUCCAAGGCUAAAUACUCCUGACUGACCGAUAGUGAACCAGUACCGUGAGGGAAAGGCGAAAAGAACCCCGGCGAGGGGAGUGAAAAAGAACCUGAAACCGUGUACGUACAAGCAGUGGGAGCCCUGAUUUAUCAGGGUGACUGCGUACCUUUUGUAUAAUGGGUCAGCGACUUAUAUUCUGUAGCAAGGUUAACCGAAUAGGGGAGCCGGAGGGAAACCGAGUCUUAACUGGGCGUUAAGUUGCAGGGUAUAGACCCGAAACCCGGUGAUCUAGCCAUGGGCAGGUUGAAGGUUGGGUAACACUAACUGGAGGACCGAACCGACUAAUGUUGAAAAAUUAGCGGAUGACUUGUGGCUGGGGGUGAAAGGCCAAUCAAACCGGGAGAUAGCUGGUUCUCCCCGAAAGCUAUUUAGGUAGCGCCUCGUGAAUUCAUCUCCGGGGGUAGAGCACUGUUUCGGCAAGGGGGUCAUCCCGACUUACCAACCCGAUGCAAACUGCGAAUACCGGAGAAUGUUAUCACGGGAGACACACGGCGGGUGCUAACGUCCGUCGUGAAGAGGGAAACAACCCAGACCGCCAGCUAAGGUCCCAAAGUCAUGGUUAAGUGGGAAACGAUGUGGGAAGGCCCAGACAGCCAGGAUGUUGGCUUAGAAGCAGCCAUCAUUUAAAGAAAGCGUAAUAGCUCACUGGUCGAGUCGGCCUGCGCGGAAGAUGUAACGGGGCUAAACCAUGCACCGAAGCUGCGGCAGCGACACUGUGUGUUGUUGGGUAGGGGAGCGUUCUGUAAGCCUGUGAAGGUGUGCUGUGAGGCAUGCUGGAGGUAUCAGAAGUGCGAAUGCUGACAUAAGUAACGAUAAAGCGGGUGAAAAGCCCGCUCGCCGGAAGACCAAGGGUUCCUGUCCAACGUUAAUCGGGGCAGGGUGAGUCGACCCCUAAGGCGAGGCCGAAAGGCGUAGUCGAUGGGAAACAGGUUAAUAUUCCUGUACUUGGUGUUACUGCGAAGGGGGGACGGAGAAGGCUAUGUUGGCCGGGCGACGGUUGUCCCGGUUUAAGCGUGUAGGCUGGUUUUCCAGGCAAAUCCGGAGAAUCAAGGCUGAGGCGUGAUGACGAGGCACUACGGUGCUGAAGCAACAAAUGCCCUGCUUCCAGGAAAAGCCUCUAAGCAUCAGGUAACAUCAAAUCGUACCCCAAACCGACACAGGUGGUCAGGUAGAGAAUACCAAGGCGCUUGAGAGAACUCGGGUGAAGGAACUAGGCAAAAUGGUGCCGUAACUUCGGGAGAAGGCACGCUGAUAUGUAGGUGAAGCGACUUGCUCGUGGAGCUGAAAUCAGUCGAAGAUACCAGCUGGCUGCAACUGUUUAUUAAAAACACAGCACUGUGCAAACACGAAAGUGGACGUAUACGGUGUGACGCCUGCCCGGUGCCGGAAGGUUAAUUGAUGGGGUCAGCGCAAGCGAAGCUCUUGAUCGAAGCCCCGGUAAACGGCGGCCGUAACUAUAACGGUCCUAAGGUAGCGAAAUUCCUUGUCGGGUAAGUUCCGACCUGCACGAAUGGCGUAAUGAUGGCCAGGCUGUCUCCACCCGAGACUCAGUGAAAUUGAACUCGCUGUGAAGAUGCAGUGUACCCGCGGCAAGACGGAAAGACCCCGUGAACCUUUACUAUAGCUUGACACUGAACACUGGUCCUUGAUGUGUAGGAUAGGUGGGAGGCUUUGAAGUGUGGACGCCAGUCUGCAUGGAGCCGUCCUUGAAAUACCACCCUUUAAUGGCUGGUGUUCUAACGUUGGCCCCUUACCGGGGUUGCGGACAGUGUCUGGUGGGUAGUUUGACUGGGGCGGUCUCCUCCUAAAGAGUAACGGAGGAGCACGAAGGUUGGCUAAUCCUGGUCGGACAUCAGGAGGUUAGUGCAAUGGCAUAAGCCAGCUUGACUGCGAGCGUGACGGCGCGAGCAGGUGCGAAAGCAGGUCAUAGUGAUCCGGUGGUUCUGAAUGGAAGGGCCAUCGCUCAACGGAUAAAAGGUACUCCGGGGAUAACAGGCUGAUACCGCCCAAGAGUUCAUAUCGACGGCGGUGUUUGGCACCUCGAUGUCGGCUCAUCACAUCCUGGGGCUGAAGUAGGUCCCAAGGGUAUGGCUGUUCGCCAUUUAAAGUGGUACGCGAGCUGGGUUUAGAACGUCGUGAGACAGUUCGGUCCCUAUCUGCCGUGGGCGCUGGAGAACUGAGGGGGGCUGCUCCUAGUACGAGAGGACCGGAGUGGACGCAUCACUGGUGUUCGGGUUGUCAUGCCAAUGGCACUGCCCGGUAGCUAAAUGCGGAAGAGAUAAGUGCUGAAAGCAUCUAAGCACGAAACUUGCCCCGAGAUGAGUUCUCCCUGAGACUUAGAGUCUCCUGAAGGAACGUUGAAGACGACGACGUUGAUAGGCCGGGUGUGUAAGCGCAGCGAUGCGUUGAGCUAACCGGUACUAAUGAACCGUGAGGCUUAACCUUACAACGCCGAAG